rnacentral:lncRNA from 1 species
ACUUUUUGAUAUAUGGUCAUUUUAAUUAAUCUUAAAAAUUUGUUUUUAUUGUUACCAGUAGAUUUUUAGUUUUAUAUUUUAAUCAUAUUUCCAAUUUCCUUUUAUUUUUUAUUAUAGGAGAAAACGUUUGUCCAAAUGCAAACGGUCCCACAGAGGUUGUUAUUCCGAGACUCACAAAUGAACUCAGAUCUGAUCCUAACACAUGUUCUCCAGUGCCAUUGACAGAUAUUUCAAAUGGUAAUUUAUUCUUUACAUAUCUA